GCUUUUCCUCAGGGUUGGGGCCGGAGGGGAAGGGGCUUUUCCUCGGGUUAAGGCCGGAGGGAAUGGGGUGUUUCCUCAGGGUUUGUUCCGGAGGGGAACGCGUUUUUCCCUCAGGGUUGGGGACCGGAGGGGAAGGGGCUUUUCCUCAGGUUUGGGUCUGGAGCGGAAGUGGCUUUUCCUCAGGGUUGGGGCUGGAUGCGAAGGGGCUUUUCCCUAGGGUUGGGGCUGGAGUUGAUGGGGCUUUUCCUCAGGGUUGGGGCCGGAGG